CCCUUAGAUGUUCUGGGCCGCACACGCGCUACACUGAAGGAGGCAGCAUGUACUCCUGGAUCGAAAGAUUUGGGUAACCCGCGAAUCUCCUUCGUGCUAGGGAUUGAGGUUUGCAAUUAUCCUUCAUGAACGAGGAAUUCCCAGUAAGUGCAAGUCAUAAGCUUGCGCUGACUACGUCCCUGCCCUUUGUACACACCGCCCGUCGCUACUACCGAUUGAAUGAUUUAGUGAGGACUUCGGACUGGGACCGAUGCGGCUUUCGGGCUGCGUCGGUAUUCUGGAAAGAUGUCCAAACUGUAUCAUUUAGAGGAAGUAAAAGUCGUAACA
rnacentral:rRNA from 1 species